rfam:Gonium pectorale scaffold00694, whole genome shotgun sequence.
GCGGAUUUAGCUCAGUUGGGAGAGCGCUAGACUGAAGGGACACAUGUCUCGGUCCAUCUAGAGGUCGCUAGUUCGAUCAUAGCAAUUCGCA